rnacentral:misc_RNA from 1 species
GAUGAAGAACGUAGCGAAAUGCGAUAAGUAAUGUGAAUUGCAGAAUUCAGUGAAUCAUCGAAUCUUUGAACGCACAUUGCGCCCGCCAGUAUUCUGGCGGGCAUGCCUGUUCGAGCGUCAUUACAACCCUCAGGCCCCCGGGCCUGGCGUUGGGGAUCGGCGGAAGCCCCCUGCGGGCACAACGCCGUCCCCCAAAUACAGUGGCGGUCCCGCCGCAGCUUCCAUUGCGUAGUAGCUAACACCUCGCAACUGGAGAGCGGCGCGGCCACGCCGUAAAACACCCAACUUCUGAAUGUUGACCUCGAAUCAGGUAGGAAUACCCGCUGAACUUAAGCAUAUCAAUAAGCUGAGGA